rnacentral:rRNA from 1 species
UACAGAGGUCCCGAGCGUUUUUUUUUGUUCGGAUUCACUGGGGCGUAAAGGGUGCGUAGGUGGUGAGGUAAGUCGGAUGUGAAAUCUCCGGGCUCAACCCGGGAAAUGGCAUUGGGAAACUACCUUUGGCUGGGAGGGUUUUUGAGGGGGGGGGGAUUGGGAAUACUUUGGGUGUAGCAGUGAAAUGCGUAGAUAUCAAGUGGAACACC